GUGUGCUGGUCUUACGAAGGUGUGUUCUGGGGCAUUCUGGGCAUGCUGGUCUUACAGGAGGUGUGUUCAGGUGCAUUCUGGGCGUGCUGGUCUUACAGAGAGGUGUGUUCGGGUGCACUCUGGGCGUGCUUGUCUUACAGGGAGGUGUGUUCAGGUGCAUUCUGGGCGUGCUGGUCUUACAGGGAGGUGUGUUCAGGUGCAUUCGUGGCGUGCUGGUCUUACAGGGAGGUGUGUUCAGGUGCAUUCUGGG